CCGGCGCACGGGUGAGUAACGCGUAUGCAACCUGCCUGAUACCGGGGUAUAGCCCAUGGAAACGUGGAUUAACACCCCAUAGUACUUUUAUCCUGCAUGGGAUGUGAGUUAAAUGUUUAAGGUAUCAGAUGGGCAUGCGUCCUAUUAGUUAGUUGGCGGGGUAACAGCCCACCAAGACGAUGAUAGGUAGGGGUUCUGAGAGGAAGGUCCCCCACAUUGGAACUGAGACACGGUCCAAACUCCUACGGGAGGCAGCAGUGAGGAAUAUUGGUCAAUGGACGUAAGUCUGAACCAGCCAAGUCGCGUGAGGGAAGACUGCCCUAUGGGUUGUAAACCUCUUUUAUAAGGGAAGAAUAAGUUCUACGUGUAGAAUGAUGCCUGUACCUUAUGAAUAAGCAUCGGCUAACUCCGUGCCAGCAGCCGCGGUAAUACGGAGGAUCCGAGCGUUAUCCGGAUUUAUUGGGUUUAAAGGGUGCGUAGGCGGUUUAUUAAGUUAGUGGUUAAAUAUUUGAGCUAAACUCAAUUGUGCCAUUAAUACUGGUAAACUGGAGUACAGACGAGGUAGGCGGAAUAAGUUAAGUAGCGGUGAAAUGCAUAGAUAUAACUUAGAACUCCGAUAGCGAAGGCAGCUUACCAGACUGUAACUGACGCUGAUGCACGAGAGCGUGGGUAGCGAACAGGAUUAGAUACCCUGGUAGUCCACGCCGUAAACGAUGCUCACUGGUUCUGUGCGAUAUAUUGUACGGGAUUAAGCGAAAGUAUUAAGUGAGCCACCUGGGGAGUACGUCGGCAACGCUGAAACUCAAAGGAAUUGACGGGGGCCCGCACAAGCGGAGGAACAUGUGGUUUAAUUCGAUGAUACGCGAGGAACCUUACCUGGGUUUAAAUGGGAAAUGCCGUAUUUGGAAACAGAUAUUCUCUUCGGAGCGUUUUUCAAGGUGCUGCAUGGUUGUCG
rnacentral:rRNA from 1 species